rnacentral:rRNA from 1 species
UACGUAGGGUGCAAGCGUUGCCCGGAUUUAUUGGGCGUAAAGGGCGCGUAGGCGGCUCGGCACGUCCGUUGUGAAAUCGCCCGGCUCAACUGGGCGGGGUCAGCGGAUACGGUCGAGCUUGAGCAAGCUAGGGGGCAAUGGAAUUCCCGGUGUAGUGGUGGAAUGCGUAGAUAUCGGGAGGAACACCUGCGGCGAAGGCGGGUUGCUGGGCCGACACUGACGCUGAUGCGCGAAAGCCAGGGGAGCAAACGGG